UGUGGCUCAGCUUGGCUAGAGCGCUUGAUUUGGGAUCAAGAGGUCGCAGGUUCGAAUCCUGUCA
rnacentral:tRNA from 1 species